GAUUAGAAUUCUCUCAUUCAUACGCUGGUUUUGUAGUGUUUUUUCGUUGUCUGCCUUCCUCGUUCGUGUUUGGGCUCCUACGUCUUCUUCCCUUCGCGUGGUGGUCUUCGUUCGAUUCCUCGCUCUCCAAGAAGCAAUGGUCGGUGGUGGGGGGGUCGCGAUAGGGCGAAACGAUGGGAUCCACAAUCCAGGGGUUCCGCUCUAGGUAAUAAGUCUAAGGUCCCAUGGCGUGAUCGGAGAGCCUCACAAAGUUGUGUCAGUGAUGAUGACUUUGUCUCGUUUCCUUUGGCAUUUCUGACGAGAUUCGAACAAGACCCUGUGUGGGUUGCUCUUGAAGAUGCGCUCACUAGUGAGGAGGAUGCUGCAUUUCCUCGUAUCAAGACUCGGUCGCCCUCUUCUAUUUUGGUUGACGCGCUUAAGGAUUCGUUAGUAGGGGAUAGGCUCCUCGUUUUUAUGGGUUUUUAUCUAGUUGCUACUCAUGGACUAAAUUAAGUAGUGAUUUAAUGUUUUUUGUAUUUGGGUUAUCUGAACACCCAUUCCACUGGUUUUUACCACUUUGUAUUUUUUUGUAAUACAAGCAGUGAUGUUUUUUUGAAAUACACACAGUGAUGGCCAUUUAA